AUUGAACGCUGGCGGAAUGCUUUACACAUGCAAGUCGAACGGCAGCACGGACUUCGGUCUGGUGGCGAGUGGCGAACGGGUGAGUAAUGUAUCGGAACGUGCCCAGUCGUGGGGGAUAACGUAGUGAAAAUUACGCUAAUACCGCAUACGAUCUAUGGAUGAAAGCGGGGGAUCGCAAGACCUCGCGCGAUUGGAGCGGCCGAUAUCAGAUCAGGUAGUUGGUGGGGUAAAGGCCCACCAAGCCAACGAUCUGUAGCUGGUCUGAGAGGACGACCAGCCACACUGGAACUGAGACACGGUCCAGACUCCUACGGGAGGCAGCAGUGGGGAAUUUUGGACAAUGGGCGAAAGCCUGAUCCAGCCAUUCCGCGUGCAGGAUGAAGGCCCUCGGGUUGUAAACUGCUUUUGUACAGAACGAAAAGGUUUCUACUAAUACUAGAAGCUCAUGACGGUACUGUAAGAAUAAGCACCGGCUAACUACGUGCCAGCCGCCGCGGUAA
rnacentral:rRNA from 1 species